AUUGAACGCUGGCGGCAGGCUUAACACAUGCAAGUCGAGCGGGCGAGGUUGCUUCGGUAACUGAGCUAGCGGCGGACGGGUGAGUAAUGCUUAGGAAUCUGCCUAUUAGUGGGGGACAACAUUCCGAAAGGAAUGCUAAUACCGCAUACGCCCUAAGGGGGAAAGCAGGGGAUCUUCGGACCUUGCGCUAAUAGAUGAGCCUAAGUCAGAUUAGCUAGUUGGUGGGGUAAAGGCCUACCAAGGCGACGAUCUGUAGCGGGUCUGAGAGGAUGAUCCGCCACACUGGGAGUGAGACACGGCCCAGACUCCUACGGGAGGCAGCAGUGGGGAAUAUUGGACAAUGGGCGCAAGCCUGAUCCAGCCAUGCCGCGUGUGUGAAGAAGGCCUUUUGGUUGUAAAGUACUUUAAGCGAGGAGGAGGCUACUUGGAUUAAUACUCUAGGAUAGUGGACGUUACUCGCAGAAUAAGCACCGGCUAACUCUGUGCCAGCAGCCGCGGUAA
rnacentral:rRNA from 1 species